rnacentral:ncRNA from 1 species
CAAAGGUUUGGUCCUGUCUUUUCUGUUAAUUUUAAUUGAACUUACACAUGCAAGUAUCCGCAUCCCCGUGAGAAUGCCCUACAGUUCCCUGCUCGGGAACAAGGAGCUGGUAUCAGGCCCAAUAUUAUUAGCCCAUAACACCUUGCUCAGCCACACCCCCAAGGGAUUUCAGCAGUGAUAAACAUUAAGCCAUAAGUGAAAACUUGACUUAGUUAAAAUUAAGAAGGCCGGUAAAACUCGUGCCAGCCACCGCGGUUAUACGAGAGGCCUAAGUUAAUAGACACCGGCGUAAAGAGUGGUUAAGGAGAAAUCAAAACUAAAGCCGAAUAACCUCAAGACUGUUAUACGUUACCGAGGACAAGAAGCCCAACUACGAAAGUGGCUUUAAUUUCCCCGACUCCACGAAAGCUGUGAAACAAACUGGGAUUAGAUACCCCACUAUGCUCAGCCAUAAACCUAGAUAAAAUUUUACAUCUAUUAUCCGCCAGGGUACUACGAGCGCUAGCUUAAAACCCAAAGGACUUGGCGGUGCUUCAAACCCACCUAGAGGAGCCUGUUCUAGAACCGAUGAUCCCCGUUAAACCUCACCCUCUCUUGUUUUUACCGCCUAUAUACCGCCGUCGUCAGCUUACCCUGUGAAGGUCUGAUAGUAAGCAUAAUCAGCACAACUCAAAACGCCAGGUCGAGGUGUAGCAUAUGAGAGGGCAAGAAAUGGGCUACAUUCCCUAAAUCCGGGCAUACGAAAAACAUAAUGAAAAAUAUGUCAUGAAGGAGGAUUUAGCAGUAAGCAAGAAAUAGAGAGUCUCGCUGAAACUGGCCAUGAAGCGCGUACACACCGCCCGUCACUCUCCCCGAAAAAACUAAACAAAUAUAUAAAACCCUAAUCUUAACAGAGGGGAGGUAAGUCGUAACAUGGUAAGUGUACCGGAAGGUGCACUUGGUAAAU